rnacentral:rRNA from 1 species
UACGUAGGGUGCGAGCGUUGUCCGGAAUUAUUGGGCGUAAAGAGCUUGUAGGCGGUCUGUCGCGUCUGCUGUGAAAAUCCGGGGCUCAACCCCGAACUUGCAGUGGGUACGGGCAGACUAGAGUGUGGUAGGGGAGACUGGAAUUCCUGGUGUAGCGGUGAAAUGCGCAGAUAUCAGGAGGAACACCGAUGGCGAAGGCAGGUCUCUGGGCCACUACUGACGCUG